CGCAUCUGUGCAUGCAGCAUAUCAAUAAGCGGAGGAAAAGAAACUAACAAGGAUUCCCUUAGUAACGGCGAGUGAAGCGGGAAGAGCUCAAAUUUGAAAUCUUCAAGGUUUUACCUUGACGAAUUGUAGUUUAAAGAAGUGUUUUCUGUUGAAGUUUUGGUAAAAGUUCUUUGGAAUAGGACAUCAUAGAGGGUGAGAAUCCCGUAUUUGACCAUUAUUUUCAGCUGUGUGAUACACUUUCAAAGAGUCGGAUUGUUGGGAAUGCAGUCCAAAAUGGGUGGUAAAUUUCAUCUAAAGCUAAAUAUUGGCGAGAGACCGAUAGCGAACAAGUACCGUGAGGGAAAGAUGAAAAGAACUUUGAAAAGAGAGUUAAACAGUACGUGAAAUUGUCAAAAGGGAAGCGUUUGACACCAGUGUUGUUUUCUCGAAAAUCAAUUAAAAAGAGUUUGAUUUUGUUGUGUAUUGACCUUAACAGCUUGCAUUUCAAUUUUCUUGCUUUUUUUAAUGCACUUUUCGUUUAACAAGUCAACAUCAGUUUCUUUUGUUGUAAAAAGGUCAUUGGAAGGUGGCUUUCUUUUCGGAGAAAGUGUUUAUAGCCUUUGACUCCUGCAAUCGGAGAGACUGAGGUCUGCAGCGUAGAUCCUUCGGGGUUAGAUACAUUUGUGCUAAGUUAUAGCUUUUUAUAGACAACUUGUUGACUAUGAUUAGUCUUGUAGCUUACUCGCUUAUGCUAUUUUACCUACGCUUAGGAUGUUGACACACGCGCGUGCUCG
rnacentral:rRNA from 1 species